rnacentral:rRNA from 1 species
CAGGCUUAACACAUGCAAGUCGAGGGGCAUCAGGAAGAAAGCUUGCUUUCUUUGCUGGCGACCGGCGCACGGGUGAGUAACACGUAUCCAACCUGCCCUUUACUCGGGGAUAGCCUUUCGAAAGAAAGAUUAAUACCCGAUAGCAUAAUGAUUCCGCAUGGUUUCAUUAUUAAAGGAUUCCGGUAGAGGAUGGGGAUGCGUUCCAUUAGGUUGUUGGUGAGGUAACGGCUCACCAAGCCUUCGAUGGAUAGGGGUUCUGAGAGGAAGGUCCCCCACAUUGGAACUGAGACACGGUCCAAACUCCUACGGGAGGCAGCAGUGAGGAAUAUUGGUCAAUGGGCGCUAGCCUGAACCAGCCAAGUAGCGUGAAGGAUGAAGGCUCUAUGGGUCGUAAACUUCUUUUAUAUAAGAAUAAAGUGCAGUAUGUAUACUGUUUUGUAUGUAUUAUAUGAAUAAGGAUCGGCUAACUCCGUGCCAGCAGCCGCGGUAAUACGGAGGAUCCGAGCGUUAUCCGGAUUUAUUGGGUUUAAAGGGAGCGUAGGUGGACUGGUAAGUCAGUUGUGAAAGUUUGCGGCUCAACCGUAAAAUUGCAGUUGAUACUGUCAGUCUUGAGUACAGUAGAGGUGGGCGGAAUUCGUGGUGUAGCGGUGAAAUGCUUAGAUAUCACGAAGAACUCCGAUUGCGAAGGCAGCUCACUGGACUGCAACUGACACUGAUGCUCGAAAGUGUGGGUAUCAAACAGGAUUAGAUACCCUGGUAGUCCACACAGUAAACGAUGAAUACUCGCUGUUUGCGAUAUACAGUAAGCGGCCAAGCGAAAGCAUUAAGUAUUCCACCUGGGGAGUACGCCGGCAACGGUGAAACUCAAAGGAAUUGACGGGGGCCCGCACAAGCGGAGGAACAUGUGGUUUAAUUCGAUGAUACGCGAGGAACCUUACCCGGGCUUAAAUUGCAGUGGAAUGAUGUGGAAACAUGUCAGUGAGCAAUCACCGCUGUGAAGGUGCUGCAUGGUUGUCGUCAGCUCGUGCCGUGAGGUGUCGGCUUAAGUGCCAUAACGAGCGCAACCCUUAUCUUUAGUUACUAACAGGUUAUGCUGAGGACUCUAGAGAGACUGCCGUCGUAAGAUGUGAGGAAGGUGGGGAUGACGUCAAAUCAGCACGGCCCUUACGUCCGGGGCUACACACGUGUUACAAUGGGGGGUACAGAAGGCAGCUAGCGGGUGACCGUAUGCUAAUCCCAAAAUCCUCUCUCAGUUCGGAUCGAAGUCUGCAACCCGACUUCGUGAAGCUGGAUUCGCUAGUAAUCGCGCAUCAGCCACGGCGCGGUGAAUACGUUCCCGGGCCUUGUACACACCGCCCGUCAAGCCAUGGGAGCCGGGGGUACCUGAAGUACGUAACCGCAAGGAUCGUCCUAGGGUAAAACUGGUGACUGGGGCUAAGUCAUAACAA